UUUCCGUAGGUGAACCUGCGGAAGGAUCAUUACUGAGUGAGGGCCCCUCGGGGUCCAACCUCCCACCCGUGUUUAACGAACCUUGUUGCUUCGGCGGGCCCGCCUCACGGCCGCCGGGGCGCAUCUGCCCCCGGGCCCGCGCCGGCGGAAACCCCCUGUGAACACUGUCUGAAGUAUGCAGGCUGAAACAAUUAUUAAAUUAAUUAAAACUUUCAACAACGGAUCUCUUGGUUCCG
rnacentral:misc_RNA from 1 species